GGACUACAAGGGUUUCUAAUCCCGUUCGCUCCCCAUGCUGUCGUGUCCGAGCGUCAGGAGCCAACCAGGCUGCCGCCUUCGCCUCUGGGGUUCCUCCGGAUCUCUACGCAUUUCACCACUACACCCGGAAUUCCACAGCCCUGUUUGGUCCUCUAGAAUGCCAGUCUGGCAUAACCUAGCGCGGUUGAGCCGCGCCCUUUCAUACACCACUUGACACCCCGCCUGCACACCCUUUACGCCCAGUAAAUCCGGAUAACGCUCGCCACCUACGUUUUACCGCGGCGGCUGGCAC
rnacentral:rRNA from 1 species